GCGGGAAUAGCUCAGUUGGUAGAGCGCAACCUUGCCAAGGUUGAGGUCGCGAGUUCGAGCCCCGUUUCCCGCC
rnacentral:tRNA from 1 species